AACUUGUCAAGAUUGAAGGGAGGAUGGAUGGAGCUAAAUACAGGGAGAUUUUGGAGAAGAACCUGAAGAGGUCUGCAAAAAGACUGAAAAUGGGUCAGAAAUUCAUAUUCCAGCAGUGUUACGUUCCACGUCGUGUGUGUUGUUUUUUCCCCCCUCUGUAAUGCUGCAGGAGAGCCAUUCAUCAUUCCAUUCGCUGUCCCCGCUGUCAAUCAUCGUUAACCUGGUCCCACCAAUCACAUCCCUCCUCUGGAAGAUAAAAGCUGUGUGGCUGCUGCUGCUCGUCGUCUCUCUGUUAUUGAUCUCUGUUCUUUUUCGCUGUGUGGUUGUGUAUGUGCGGUAGAGAUUUGAGACCUGAGGAAACUUGUAUAGACACAUUAGAAAAGGGGUGGUUGCCAACUGUGUAUUUUUGUUUGUAAGAGUAGCUAGACAGUCUUUUGUUAUGCUUAGUUAGUCAGAUUAUCUUUUGUUCUAGCGCUGUUUGGUUUUGUUUAUUUCAUUUCUUUGGCUACAUCCAUGUCCCUUGGCCUUGUGACCUAGUUGUGUCUUGCUUUGUGUUAACUUGUACAAAUGUAAAUAUCACUUCACUUGCACUCUUAUAAUAAUAACACCUUUAAUAUCACAACUAAUAUUAAUAUGCAACUUUGUCUGCCGGACGGAGUGUGGCACAGUGGGUAAGGAACUGCGCUUGUAACCGAAAGGUCGCAGGUUCGAUUCCCGGGUAAGGACACUGCCGUUGUACCCUUGAGAAAGGUACUUAACCUGCAUUGCUUCAGUAUCUAUCCAGCUGUAUAAAUGGAUACAAUGUAAAGUGCUAUGUAAAAAAAAAUUAAAA